rnacentral:rRNA from 1 species
CUCAGGACGACGCUGGCGGCGUGCAUAAUACAUGCAAGUCGAGCGGACAGAAGGGAGCUUGCUCCCGGAUGUUAGCGGCGGACGGGUGAGUAACACGUGGGUAACCUGCCUGUAAGACUGGGAUAACUCCGGGAAACCGGAGCUAAUACCGGAUAGUUCCUUGAACCGCAUGGUUCAAGGAUGAAAGACGGUUUCGGCUGUCACUUACAGAUGGACCCGCGGCGCAUUAGCUAGUUGGUGGGGUAAUGGCUCACCAAGGCGACGAUGCGUAGCCGACCUGAGAGGGUGAUCUGCCACACACUGGGACUGAGACACGGCCCAGACUCCUACGGGAGGCAGCAGUAGGGAAUCUUCCGCAAUGGACGAAAGUCUGACGGAGCAACGCCGCGUGAGUGAUGAAGGUUUUCGGAUCGUAAAGCUCUGUUGUUAGGGAAGAACAAGUGCGAGAGUAACUGCUCGCACCUUGACGGUACCUAACCAGAAAGCCACGGCUAACUACGUGCCAGCAGCCGCGGUAAUACGUAGGUGGCAAGCGUUGUCCGGAAUUAUUGGGCGUAAAGGGCUCGCAGGCGGUUUCUUAAGUCUGAUGUGAAAGCCCCCGGCUCAACCGGGGAGGGUCAUUGGAAACUGGGAAACUUGAGUGCAGAAGAGGAGAGUGGAAUUCCACGUGUAGCGGUGAAAUGCGUAGAGAUGUGGAGGAACACCAGUGGCGAAGGCGACUCUCUGGUCUGUAACUGACGCUGAGGAGCGAAAGCGUGGGGAGCGAACAGGAUUAGAUACCCUGGUAGUCCACGCCGUAAACGAUGAGUGCUAAGUGUUAGGGGGUUUCCGCCCCUUAGUGCUGCAGCUAACGCAUUAAGCACUCCGCCUGGGGAGUACGGUCGCAAGACUGAAACUCAAAGGAAUUGACGGGGGCCCGCACAAGCGGUGGAGCAUGUGGUUUAAUUCGAAGCAACGCGAAGAACCUUACCAGGUCUUGACAUCCUCUGACAACCCUAGAGAUAGGGCUUUCCCUUCGGGGACAGAGUGACAGGUGGUGCAUGGUUGUCGUCAGCUCGUGUCGUGAGAUGUUGGGUUAAGUCCCGCAACGA